rnacentral:rRNA from 1 species
UAGGGAAUCUUCGGCAAUGGGGGGAACCCUGACCGAGCAACGCCGCGUGAGUGAAGAAGGUUUUCGGAUCGUAAAACUCUGUUGUUAGAGAAGAACAGCGCAUAGAGUAACUGUUAUGCGUGUGACGGUAUCUAACCAGAAAGCCACGGCUAACUACGUGCCAGCAGCCGCGGUAAUACGUAGGUGGCAAGCGUUGUCCGGAUUUAUUGGGCGUAAAGCGAGCGCAGGCGGUCAAUUAAGUCUGAUGUGAAAGCCCCCGGCUCAACCGGGGAGGGUCAUUGGAAACUGGUUGACUUGAGUGCAGAAGAGGAGAGUGGAAUUCCAUGUGUAGCGGUGAAAUGCGUAGAUAUAUGGAGGAACACCAGUGGCGAAGGCGACUCUCUGGUCUGUAACUGACGCUGAGGCUCGAAAGCGUGGGUAGCAAACAGG